CCCUGGCUGGCCCAGCUGGUAGGGCAUGUGACUCUUGAUCUCAGGGUAGUGAGUUUAAGCCCCAUGUUGGGCA
rnacentral:tRNA from 1 species